rnacentral:rRNA from 1 species
UACGUAGGGUGCGCGCGUUAAUCGGAAUUACUGGGCGUAAAGCGUGCGCAGGCGGUUUUGUAAGCCAGAUGUGAAAUCCCCGGGCUUAACCUGGGAAUGGCAUUUGGGACUGCAAGGCUGGAGUGUGGCAGAGGGAGACUGGAAUUCCUGGUGUAGCAGUGAAAUGCGUAGAUAUCAGGAGGAAUACCGAUGGCGAAGGCAGGUCUCUGGCUGGACACUGACGCUCAUGCACGAAAGCGUGGGAGC